AAACAGACCCCUAUGUUUUGCAACUUUAGCAGUUUUGGCCCCCCAAUGCCAAUUUUUUUUUUAAAAAAAUGACACGUGGCACCUCACUUAGGGUGCCACGUCAGCGUUGACCGAGUCAAAAUCGGCCUUGGGGGCCAAAACUAGUACAGUUGCAAAACAUAGGGGUCUGUUU
rnacentral:pre_miRNA from 1 species